GGUAGCAAUAUCUUGAGCCGAGCGGCGUAAGGGGCAGUAACACGUGGGUAACGUACCCUCAGGCCGGGGAUAGCUACGGGAAACUGUAGGUAAUACCCGAUAACACUUCACGGUCAAAGGUGUAAUUCCACCUGGGGAGCGGCUCACGUCGUAUUAGCUAGUUGGUAGGGUAACGGCCUACCAAGGCAAAGAUGCGUAGCGGGUGUGAGAGCACGACCCGCGCCACUGGCACUGAGACACUGGCCAGACACCUACGGGUGGCUGCAGUCGAGGAUCUUCGGCAAUGAGCGCAAGCUUGACCGAGCGACGCCGCGUGCGGGAUGAAGGCCUUCGGGUUGUAAACCGCUUUGGUCGGGGAGAAAGGCUUUCGGGGUUCACUCCGGGAGUCUGAUCUAUCCGAGAAACAAGCACGGGCUAAGUUCGUGCCAGCAGCCGCGGUAAGACGAACCGUGCGAACGUUGUUCGGAAUCACUGGGCUUAAAGGGCGCGUAGGCGGCAUGACAAGUCUGGGGUGAAAUCCUCCGGCUUAACCGGAGAAUUGCCUGGGAAACUAGCAUGCUCGAGGGAGGUAGAGGUGGCCGGAACUUCCAGUGGAGCGGUGAAAUGCGUUGAUAUUGGAAGGAACGCCGGAGCCGAAAGGGGGCCACUGGACCUCUUCUGACGCUGAUGCGCGAAAGCUAGGGUAGCGAACGGGAUUAGAUACCCCGGUAGUCCUAGCCCUAAACGAUGGGUACUAGAUGGUGGACCUGACACGGGUUCACCGUCGAAGCAAAAGUGGUAAGUACCCCGCCUGGGGAGUAUGGUCGCAAGGCUG
rnacentral:rRNA from 1 species